UACUCUUAAUGGUGGAUCACUCUGCUCAUGUGUUGUUGAAGAACACAGCUAACUGCGAGAAUUAGUGUGAAUUGCAGGACACAUUGAUCUUCGACACUUUGAACACACUUUGCGCCCGCAGGUUCUUCUCAGGGCCGCACCUGUCUGAGGGUCG